rnacentral:rRNA from 1 species
UGGGGAAUAUUGGACAAUGGGCGAAAGCCUGAUCCAGCCAUGCCGCGUGUGUGAAGAAGGUCUUCGGAUUGUAAAGCACUUUAAGUUGGGAGGAAGGGCAGUAAAUUAAUACUUUGCUGUUUUGACGUUACCGACAGAAUAAGCACCGGCUAACUCUGUGCCAGCAGCCGCGGUAAUACAGAGGGUGCAAGCGUUAAUCGGAAUUACUGGGCGUAAAGCGCGCGUAGGUGGUUCGUUAAGUUGGAUGUGAAAUCCCCGGGCUCAACCUGGGAACUGCAUUCAAAACUGGCGAGCUAGAGUAUGGUAGAGGGUGGUGGAAUUUCCUGUGUAGCGGUGAAAUGCGUAGAUAUAGGAAGGAACACCAGUGGCGAAGGCGACCACCUGGACUGAUACUGACACUGAGGUGCGAAAGCGUGGGGAGCAAACA